ensembl:lncRNA
AAAACCUCAAGCUAAGAGAUGAUCAUUUGUAAUGCUUUUACUAUCAAAAAUCAAAAAUGUUACCUCCUCCUGCAGAAAAGGUGCCUCCCGCCGUCACCGCUCCUCUGGGCAACAGCGGACACCUGCCCGCGCCAGGCCUCAGCGUCGCAGCCUCCACGUCUCGGAAAACGAAAAGAGCCUCCUUUGCGCAGCCCACAGACACCACUCUCGGACAGCCAGCCUCACCUGCAGGUAGCAGCUGUGGGGGUGAUGGGGUCUUAGGACGAGUGGGAGUUUAAAUAUUUUCACUUAAGACAAAAGUGCUUGAAGAUCCCAAGCUUCAAAUAGAUUGUAAUAGAAAGUCCCAAAGUCGCUUUAUUGACAGGUAUUUCGGCCUCCACAGCUCAGAGCAGAUGGCAGCUGAAACAGUCACCUCGGAAACAUCCCUCUCAGCAUCCUAAAGCAGCUGUGCAGAUCCUGGGCCAACGGGGUACCUGACAGGUUUUCGGGGGGAGAAUGAGUCUGUUGUCUCUCCAGUCACUGCUCUGACCUCUCAGUGGGAAAGGGGUGGGAGGAAAGCAUGAAGACAAACGUAUCGUGAAUCUGUUCCCCGCCUUUAAGAGAAUAUACGAAAUGGUGAAUCUCUUGUACAUGGGAGAGGUUACCGUUAAGACACUCAUUGAAUUUCCAUUCUAUACACACACACAAAACACUAUUCCAGGCUAUCAUUUGCCACUACUGGCAUAUUGCCUCGAAAUCAGUUAGCAGUCUUUGUGAUUUAGGACAAAUAUCUACUGGCUUAUACAGUGUCUUGACUAAUUGUCCAUUUUCCUCAAUAUCAAAUCGACUGGAUUUUAAUAUUUUAAGCUCAAAGAAUUCACAAACCGUCAUGUGGACGUGAUGAGUAGAUUUGUAAUGUUUCAAACUCCCUGUAGAAUCUAGAAAUGCAAACUUUUAAGGUGAAAGGGAUUGAGGGAGAAAGCCAUUUAGAGAGAGUGAAGACUCAUGGUUUUCGGUCCUCAAAAGAAGCCACUGGACUUCUGCUUCUGGUCACAAUGGAGUAACAAUGAGGGGACAAAAGCUCCCACCCUAAACAGCUCCGUCAUGGCCACAGGCAGUGCAGGGGGACUGGAGCGCAGCCCUGUGUCACCCCAGCUGUCUUCCUGGAGCCAGAGAGCUGUGGGUGCCGGAGGGAACCUCGAAAGGGCCCGAUGGCCCCGAGUUCUGGGGAGAGAACUCAGUUCAGGGGGAUCAGGCGGUGGUGGUGGCAAGGAGGAGUCCCAGAGAAGCAGCAGCUUCAGGAAAAGGGAACCCGCAGGGACACACAGUGGGCCACAGAGUCCUUCCUGAGCGUAGACCGUGCCUGCCAUGAGGGAGACUCCACAGACACGCGGACCCGGGCAGGACUGUGAGGUUGUCAGUUGAAGAGCCAGACUCGACCAGGACUGAGAGCCAUUUGAGACUGACCAGCAAGCGUGGAGACAUGGUGACUGUUCUGGGCACCCAGGGUAGGCCCGGGUCACCCUCCCUUAGUAGGGCUGAUUAUCCCAGAGGUGAAGGCAGCUCUAGACGUCCCCUAUCAAGGACGAGAAAACAAGCUGUAAAAAGUCCAAAUGGUUUGCAAGAUUUACCUGCUGCCGAGACAAACGUCAACACUCUUCAAAGAAAGACAACAACACACUGACACUGAGCAGCAUCAUCUGAUUUCUAAGGGGCACAGAGUUGUUCAUAGUGUCUCCUUACUCUCCUUCUAUUGUCUGUGGAUCAGCGUCAACGGCGUGCUUUCAUUUCUGGGCCUGGUCAUGGUGUCUUCUCUCCGUUUCUCUCAGUCAGUCUGGCGACAUGUCCACUAGCUGUGCAGAUUGUUCAUGGAACCAGCCUUUGGCUUCAUUGAUAUUGUCUACUUUUCUGUCUUCAACUCCGUCGGUUUCUACUCGAGUCAUUAUUUCCCUCCUCCUGCUUGCAUUUGCUUUAAUCAAAAGCUCUUCUUUCCCUGGUUUUCCUGGGGGAGAAGUUUACGUAUCGAUCAGAGUCUUUCUCUGCUGACACGUGCGUCAGUGCUGUGAAGGUCCCAGCAGCGCUCCCUAGGUGUGUCCCACAGAUUCUGAUACGAUGCAUUUUCAUUUUCCCUUAGUUCAGAAUAUUUUUACAUUUCCCAUUGAGACUCCCUCUUGGAUGCACGGGUUGUUUAGAGGUCGGUUGUUCGAUUUCCAGCUAGGUCGGGUAUCUUCACGUUAUUGAUUUCAAGUCUAAUUCCGCUAUGGUCUGAGGACAUGCUGUUGGGAGAGGAUGACUUCAGACUCCUCCUCGGGCACGUGAGGGUGGGCCAUGGGCCUGGAGCACUUCCUCCCUGAGAGAUGAGGGGCCACACAGCCUGUGCUGGACUUGUCACCUUGUCUUUCCCUGUUUCAGACGCAGCCAAUGCUCCUUGUUCUAUUAAAGCAGGUGUGUCAUAUGGCACCUGGCCACCCCCACUGCUGUAUGUGUCCCCUGUGGGACAGGUGGAGGAAAAUAUGGAGCCUCUUAUGGGACAAGAAGGGUACACGCAGGCUCCUUACAGACAGCAUAUAGUUGUGUAUCGCUGCUUCUUCCAUUCUGACAAUCUGUCUUUAACUGAUGUGUUUAGAACUGUUAUCUUGCUAGCCGUUUUAUAUUUGCCACAUUUGUUCUUUUUUUAUUUUCCUUCUUUUUCUGCCUUCUUCAGGUUAAUUCAGCAUUUUUUAUUAUUCCAUUUUAUCUCUUCUAUUGUCUUACUAUUAAAUCUUUUUUAAAAAACCUUUUUGGGUAGUUGCCCUAGAGCUCACGAUAUACGUUAAAAUAAUCUGAGUCCACCAACAAAUAUGAUACUGCUUCAUAUGUAAGAUGUUAAGAAACAAAAUUCAACUGAGUAAAUUUGAAGAUUUAAUUGGUUCUGUUAACUGAUUCUUGAAUUGGGCAGCAUCUCAUCUGGCAAGCCGAGAGAUGUUCUGAGGGGUUACACCACCUGAAAGGUUUUUAUAGUACGGAGGGUGAGACAAGGAAAGGAAGUCAUCAGCAAGGAAGAGAUGAAAGUUCAUUGAGGGAAAGUAAAUGCUCAGGUGAUGAUGGCUUCUCAUUGGCUGAGCUUGUUGCUGAGCAAGAAGGAAGUCAUCCUUCCUCCUGCUGGAGCAGCAAAGUAGUUGCACUUCCUGUUGGGGAGUGCAAGGUAGGUCUCUUCCUAUUGGGGACCUCUUCCUGUUAGGGUCAGUAAGUGACCUCUUCCUUUUGGAGUCAGUAACUCAUAUCUUCCUGUUGGGGUCAAAAACUGACAUCCUCCUGUUGGGGUCAAUAACUGACCUCCUCCUGUUGGGGUCAGUAACUGACAUCCUCCUGUUGGGGUCAGUAACUGACAUCCUGCUGUUGGGAUAAUUGAUGAUAGGUAGUAGGGCAUGAGGGCUCCCUCUACAGGCCUUCAUGACUCCAACUUUAGUUGAGGUUUCCUUUAUUAAUCUUAGUGGUUGCCCUAGGAUUUAAAAUAUACUUUGAAAUAAUCUGCGUUCACCAACAAAUAAUCCUCUACUGCUUCCUGUAUAAGGUUCAAAUUUCUGACUCUAUCACAUUUCUUCUGCCUGAAGCACUUCCUUAAACAUUUCUCAUAAGUUGCAGGUCCUUCUAGUUGUGGGAUGUGGGAUGCUGCCUCAACGUGGCCUGAUGAGCGGUGCCAUGCCCACGCCCAGGAUCCAAACGCUGGGCCGUCGCAGUGGAGUAUGCGAACUUAACCACUUGGCCAUGGAGCCGGCCCCGGUUGCCUUUUCACUCUGGUGAUGGUUUCCUUUGUGUGCAGAAGCUUUGUAGUUUGAUGUAGACCAAGUUGUCUGUUUUUGCUUUUGUUGCCUUGGCUUUUGGUGUCAAGUGCAAAAAUCAUUGCCAAAACUGAUGUCGUAAAGGCGAGGAUGCCCACUCUCUCCACUUCUCUUCAGUGCUGGAAUCCUCAGCCAGAGCAAUCAGGCAAGAAACAGAAAUAAAAGGCAUCCAAAUUGGAAAGGAAGAAGGAAGGUUAUCUGUGUUUGCAGAUGACGUGGUCUUUUAAGUAGAAAACCCUAAAGACUCCACAAAAAAACUGUUAGAUCUAAUAAACAAAUUCAGUAAAAGAGCAGGAUACAAAAUCAAUGUAUAAAAAUCUGUUGCCUUUCUGCACAUCCACAGUGAACUAUCCAAAAAGGAGCUUAAGAAAAUAAUGCCAUUUACAAUAGCAUCAAAAAGAAUAAAAUACUUAGGAAUGAAAUUAACCAAGGGAAUGAAAGCCUUGUAUGCUGAAAAUGAUAAGACAUUGCUCAAAGAAAUUGAUAAAGACACAAAUACAUGGAAAGACAUCCUGCGCUCAUGGAUUGUAAGAGUGACUAUUGUUAAAAUGUCCAUGAUACCCAAAGCAGUCUACAGAUUCAAUGCCAUCCCUACCAAAAUCAGAAUGGUAGGGGCUGGCUGGGUGGCACAGCAGUUAAGUUCGCAUGUUCCACUUCGACGACCCAGGGUUCGCCCAUUCCAAUCCCUGGUGCGGCACCACUUGGCAAGCCAUGCUGUGGUGGGCGUCCCACAAAUAAAGUAGAGGGAGAUGGGCAGUGAUGUUAGCUCAGGGCCAGUCUUCCCUGGCAAAAAGACGAGGAUUGGCAGCAGAUUUAGCUCAGGGCUAAUAUUCCUCAAAAAAAAAAAAAUCACAGUGGAAGUUUACAGAAGUAGAUAAAACAAUCCUUAAAUUCACGUGGAGUCACCAAGGACCCGGAACAGCCAAAGCAAUCUUGAAGGAAGAACACAGCUGGAGGCAUCAGCUGCCUGGUUCAAACUAUCCUAAAGCUACAGUAAUGAAAACAGUGUGGCGCUGGCAUAGAGACAGACACACAGGCCAACGGAACAGAAUCGAGAGCCCAGAAGGACACCAUACGUAUGCGGUCAACUGAUCUUCAACAUGGGAGCCGAGAUUAGUCAACAGGGAAAGGCCGGUCUCUUAACAAUGGUGCUGGAAAACUGGACAUGUGCAUGCAGGAGAAUGAAAACGGACUCUUCUCUCACACCAUCCACCCCACAAACCAGCACAGACUCACCAAGGACUUAAACGUGACACAGGAACCUGUGAGAUCCCUGGAAGAAGACUCAGGGAUGGCCUCACCUUUCUUAUCCAUGCCCGAGUUCCUCCUCUCUUCCAUCUUCUUUCACAUGGAGUAGCAUUGUCUCAUGUUUCCCAGCGUCCUGGUCUGAAAGUGGGAUGUCCACUCGCAUUAGUGUGUGGUCGCCCUGAAGUGCACCUGCAUCCUCGAUAUGAUGCUGAGGUUGGACGUCAGGAUUGUAACACAGCUGCUUACACGUGGCUUUUGCCCUAUUUUGGACAAUCUCCUCAGCGGCGUCCUGGACAUCAGAUUGCUGGGUCAAAGUUGACGUUUUAUGGUUUUUGAGAUGUUUCUGUUGAGCAUUUUUCAAAUGACACCUUGCACCUCCCACGAGCGUGGCUGUAACACAGGCCCCUCCUCUUCUCUGCUCAGUGCCACCCCUUGGGAGGUCCCAGCCCUUCUCUUUGAGGUCAUUUGUCCCCUCAGGCUGUCCUGCUGUGUAGAACUGGGGGAUGCCUCCUGUGGAACUUGAGGACCAGAGGUCAGCCCAGGAAGGCAGCUUCUCAGCAGAACCUAGGCCGUGGCUGGAGCCUGGAGGCUACAGGGCCGGGGCGCCUCCUGCCUGAGGCUGGGGAAGCCCCCUGCCCUACAGCCUCCACCUUCAUUUCUGGACUGAAGGUCAGAUGCCCCACCCUGGGGCCCAGGAGGAGCCCCUCCAACAGCCGACGAGGGUCCCAGGGAGAGGCCGGUCCAGUGACUGUUCCCUAUUGUCAGGCAGAAGCAAAGUCACAAGAUGACACGUCAUGAGCCAUGAGGGGCUUCUGCUGUGUAUCCAGGAGCCGUCCAGGGCGUGAACUAGAAGAGACGCCACCACCCAUGUGGCUGCACGACUGCAGAGGGAGAUGGCAGAUCUGGAGGGCCCCACCUGACACCCUGAGGGGCAGAGGCUCAAGACCAAGUGGAAUCGCUUGAGUCCAGCACCGUCGGCAUCCAGUACCAGGAGGGAGUGAGAGGACAGCUGUCCCUUCGCUGGACAGGAGGCCCCCGAGAAGAUGUGCUUCUCCUUAUGUCAAAGUACAGAUGAGCCCAGGAAAACAUGAUUCGGGGAUUUGGGGACCUAGAUGAGCUGAUUUUAAGUUCACAUGGAGAAAUCACUGAACAAGAAAGUCCAGGAAAACUUGAGGAGCUGUCACCAGAGGGACGAGCCUGACAGCAAUGAAAACACAGAGAUGACUCAGUGUGAUGCUGCCGUGACCCAGAACAGCCUUUCCAAGGGAACACGCGUCCCGGGAGCCACUUACAACAAGUGACACAUGCACCCCACAGAGUCACGUGUCUCUGUGGGAAAUGUGUAAUCGGAGUCAGAGAAGAGCACGGAACAGGGAAAUGUCUGCCCUUCCGAUUUCCUGAGUGGAGGGUGCUUCCGCAAACCCGCUCUUUAAAAGACCAAACAGCAAAGGGACAUGAGGUGGAAGCUGACACCUGAGGGAGGACAGCGGCUCCUGAUGACGAGGCAUCCUAUCACCUCGCUGCUGAGAGACAUGCGGAUGAAGCUGGGAAGCCCUUCAGGCUGCACCUGUCACCCCAUGGCCUGGUGGAAUGGCAGCACCCCGAAAUUCCGCCCACUGCCCGGCACCCUGACUGCUCUUGUCCAUAGCAGUUGGAGGCACUUGUCUCCUUUGUGAGCGGCUCUGCCGUCUCACACUGCCCACCUCGAUGUGAGUGCAGGAGGCACAACUCACACCGCAACUGGUCAGUCAGUUGGAGGCACUCGUGCCCUCUGUGAGCGGUUCUGCCGUCUCGCACUGCCCACCUCGACGCGAGUGUCGAGUUCGUGGAGGAGGCGAAGCUCGCGCCCGCGACUGGUCAGUCAGCAGUUGGAGGCACUCGUGCCCUCUGUGAGCGGCUCUGCCGUCUCGCACUGCCCACCUCGACGCGAGUGUCGAGUUCGUGGAGGAGGCGCAGCUCGCGCCCGCGACUGGUCAGUCAGGUGAGCGUGACUUUGGGGACAGUGGCCGCCAGGGGUGGUGCCACGGGCCUCCCUUGGCUGUAGGCGAGGUGACACCGAGCCCCGAGCCCCGAUGGAGAGCCGGGCUCAGACAGCCGUCCCCGGUCCAUGGGGUGAGGGUGCUGCUCGCAUUGCCCCUGCCCGUGGGAGGAGGCUGGGG